UGUGAGUGGUGUUUUUGAGGACAUCUACGAUCCGGGACACCUUUUCCACUCCACAAAGAGUAACCACUGGUGAUUUGGCUUCGGCAAGCUCACCGACAGUGAGAUUUCUCAUCCAUGGCUCAGGAUUUGCAUCCAAGAAUGGAGGACUAGCAUUGUUAUGGGAAGUAAUAGAAGGUUGUUGGUGAGUUCAAGGAAAAUUAUACAGAGUGAAACAGUCAUCCUCAUCGACCCAGCCAUGAGUGAGGCUGCACCGAGAACUGCAUAAAGCCCGUGGUCAAUAUUGGUAUAGGAUCCCAUGAAAACACCAAGCAGACGACCUUAAGCAGAGCCAAUAAGUAUUAUAGGGAGGAAGAGACCUGAGGGUACGGCAAUGCCAAAGGUAAAUAGUCCUAAGAUGCAAUAGAGUGCAAAGAAAAUGAGGAGGGACACAGGCUGAAAUUCUUUGGGAGUGUUAGAGGAGAAGAUGUUUCGGACAGCAUCAUCAUUUGUGGUAAGGAGAAGUGUAGCAAGGUCAUUGUAAUAGCCCUUUGCACAGUUGAAUUGUUUGAAGUUGCCUGACCGUCCAUUGGCAGGGCAUGCCUCUGUUGUGGAGGGAUCAAAAGGUUGGCAUUUGGCAAGAAAUGGAAGGCAAUAUUGGCACACUGAGGUAAAAAGUGAAACGGUUAAACUGAGGAGUAGCUUAUGCAUUCUUCCCUUCCUGCAAUGAAACAAGAUUCGUCAUCAGCAUAGCCCAACACAAAAUUUAACUUUUUGUCAGCUGCUUUUGACUUGGUGCAUGAAUUUAUCAUUGAUCAUGAUAUGGGAAUCUGCUUCAGAUUCUGAAUUAUGUUUGAAACUCGGGAUUGUUCAGACAUGUUUAAGAAACUCCAUACAUAUCAGGUUAUCUGAUGGUAGUAUUCAAUUGGUUUA